CCACACCAAAGCAGGUCAUUUUGAUGUGUCGAAACAAUAUACGAAGCUUUCGAAAUCUGCAAAUUUCCGAUCUACAUGUCUGCAAGGACAGCAUCUUUCGAGGCAGCAGAGCGGACGAGGUACUUUGUCCCUGUUACAAUUGCAGCUGCAGGUCCUGAUGCUUCCGCUUUUGAAGGCAGCUGAUCACAGAAUCAAAGUACUGAGCUGAGAUAUGUCGUCAUUGUCAGGGCUCCGGUCGACCUGCAGCAGAGCGCUCAGCCUGCAAGAGGAACCCUCUAUAAUUAUUCUGGAUCCUGGUCAGUCUUCUUGGUCCCUCUACGAUCAGCCA
rnacentral:lncRNA from 1 species